rnacentral:rRNA from 1 species
UACGGGGGGAGCAAGCGUUGUUCGGAUUUACUGGGCGUAAAGGGCGCGUAGGCGGUCAGCACAAGUCAGUUGUGAAAUCUCCGGGCUUAACUCGGAAAGGUCAACUGAUACUGUGCGACUAGAGUGCGGAAGGGGCAACUGGAAUUCUCGGUGUAGCGGUGAAAUGCGUAGAUAUUAGGAAGAACACCCGUGGCGAAGGCGGCUCUCUGGGACGGUACUGACGCUGAGGAGCGAAAGCGUGGGGAGCAAACAGG